GCGCUGUGGGUUAAACCAGAGCCUAGGACUUGCUGAUCAGAAGGUCGGUGGUUCAAAUCCCCGCGACAGGGUGAGCUCCCGUUGCUUGGUCCCUGCUCCUGCCAACCUAGCAGUUCGAAAGCACGUCAAAGUGCAAGUAGAUAAAUAGGUACCGCUCUGGCGGGAAGGUAAAUGGCAUUUCCAUGCGCUGCUCUGGUUCGCCAGAAACGGCUUAGUCAUGCUGGC